UUCUCCCGCCUUGGGAGUUCGGCCGCAAGGCUGAAACUAAAAGGAAUUGGCGGGGGCCCCCCCAAACGGUGGGGCCAGUGGUUUAAUUUGAAGCAACGCGAAAGACCUUUACCGGUCUUUGCAUCCUAGAGCAAUCGUAGAGAUAGGGCCUUCCCCUUCGGGGGACAGACUGGCAGGUGGUGCAUGGUGUUAGUCAGCUCGUGUCGUGAGAUGUUGGGUUAAGUCCCCCAACGAGCGCAUCCCUUUUUGUUAGUUGCCAGCAUUCAGUUGGGCUCUUUAAGGAGUCUCCCGGUCACAUCGCGGAGGAAGGGGGGGAUGGCGUCAAAUCCACAUGCCCCUUGUGUUGGGGUUUACGCACGUGCCACAAUGGGGGGUACAAAGGUCCAAGAGCCCGAGAGGUUUAGCCAAUCCCAUAAACCCAUUCUCAGUUCGGAUUGUAGGCUGCAACUCCCUUACAAGAACGCGGAAUCUAUAGUAAUCGCGGAACAGCAUGCCCCGGGGAAUCCGUUCCCGGUCCUGGUCCCCCCCGCCCGCCACUCCACGAGAGUUUGUACCCCCGGAAGUCGGUGGGGUAACCGUAAGGAGCCAGCCGCGUAAGGUGGACAGAUGAUUGGGGGAAGUCGAAUCAAUUUUUGCAG
rnacentral:rRNA from 1 species